rnacentral:lncRNA from 1 species
ACUUUUUCAAUAUCGAUGAACUUUUAUGAAAAAUAGAUGAUUUUUUUAAAAUAUCCAGGGGCUACAUUCACCAAUCCGUAUAGAUCACUGACAGGAAAGACCGGAACGUGUCAGCGGCCAGAUAGAAGAGGCCGACGUUUGACAGAAAGACCGCAUGGCGGAGGAAGAUUGCUAGGGCCAAACCACCAGAGCCACAAUUGUAGCCGCAACAUCCCAAGUAGCAUCGCAGAUCAAGGCCAUGAGGGCUGAGACCAUGACAUAGCCUGCCAUGCAUCCGGCCAAGGUGGAGAACCACAACGCCAUCCGAUCUGGGUCAUGCCCAAAUCCAGCCAACGCCGUAGCCCCAACCGCACACCUCCGACACAGCGGAUGCCACGCCGCCGGUAGCCGCCGCUCACGCCCCUCGAGCGGAUGCCAUGCUUAGAUGGCGGACACUAGAAACCGUGGCCCCAACGCGCGCCGACACUCCUUCAGAUCCGCUGCCCAACAGAGCCAAGAGAUUGUCACGAGAGAAGCCCCCGCCGCCACCGUCGGCCGUGCAAGGGAGAAGGAAGGCCCGACGGGA